CUUGCCCUGUGCAGCACCGGUGCUGGGUGUAAAGUGGCCACGAAGUGCAUGUGUCCUGGAUGAGUGAGAGACACACUAUCGAACAGCUACAUCUGGUGCAAGGAUGGUCCCCUGCAGAGGUGAAGUAGGAAGCUGACGUUCUGUCAACCUAAAGGUGUGACAACUUCUGGAAAGGCCCUUUUGCUGGAGUUGGAUGAGCUUUCUGCACUUUUCAUAUGCUCUAUGAGCUGACGCCACUCUUAGAUGACAGCUUGAGUAGAAUGGUACUCGUGUUUUAAAGAGAGGGCAUCCCUCAGUCCCAUGAAAACCAAAAUUAAACAUCACAGCUGGGAAAAGGAAAGCAGGCAAAGACUGGAAAGCACCUAGCGGCUCCGGGCACAGAGGAUGUGCUUAAUAAGGAAGAAUGGGGAAUCCUGAGAAAAGCACUUCCUCAGCUUAUCUGAUCCCAGUCCUUGUUAUAUUGUUUUAUUUUUAAUGGACAAGUCGAAAGUACACGUAUUUAUGAUACACAAAAUGAUGACUUGAUAGAUGCAGAUAUUGUGCAAUGGCUACAUCAAGCUACUUGACAUGAGGAUUGUCUUAUGUACUUUCUUGGGGAGAACACUUAAAACCUAUAAUCUCAGCCAUUGUGAAAUAUACAGUAUGUUGUCAUGAGCUAUCAUCAACAUGAUGUACAGCAGAUCACCUGGGCUUCCUCUUCCUGUCUAAGUGGAACUUUAUAUCCUUUCACCAACUUCUCCCUCAUCUUCCUACACAUUGAUGAAUAAUUUUUAUUCCCCAUUUACUAUCUUAGAGGGAAGUUUUAGAGUUAUGUUAGCUGACUUCAACACUGUUUAACUAUCAUUGGCAUGCCCCAACUGUAAUAGAAAGGUGAA